rnacentral:misc_RNA from 1 species
AAAGUCGUAACAAGGUUUCCGUAGGUGAACCUGCGGAAGGAUCAUUAAAAUACCGAUAAAAACCACUGCUUUUGGCACUAAACACACAAACCUAUAUUUUUUUUAAUAUCUUCUAAGCUUCACUUUUUGUGACUUUUAAAUAAAAAAAAAAAACAAAACUUUCAACAACGGAUCUCUUGGUUCUC